GAUGUCUGAUUAGCUAGUUGGUGAGGUAAAGGCUUACCAAGGCUUCGAUCAGUAGCUGGUCUGAGAGGACGACCAGCCACACUGGGACUGAGACACGGCCCAGACUCCUACGGGAGGCAGCAGUGGGGAAUUUUGGACAAUGGGGGAAACCCUGAUCCAGCCAUGCCGCGUGAGUGAAGAAGGCCUUCGGGUUGUAAAGCUCUUUCAUCCGGAACGAAACGGUUACGGCUAAUACCUGUGACUACUGACGGUACCGGAAGAAGAAGCACCGGCUAACUACGUGCCAGCAGCCGCGGUAAUACGUAGGGUGCUAGCGUUAAUCGGAAUUACUGGGCGUAAAGCGUGCGCAGGCGGUUUUGUAAGUCAGAUGUGAAAUCCCCGGGCUUAACCUGGGAACU
rnacentral:rRNA from 1 species